rnacentral:rRNA from 1 species
AGUGAACGCUGGCGGUAGGCCUAACACAUGCAAGUCGAACGGCAGCACAGUAAGAGCUUGCUCUUACGGGUGGCGAGUGGCGGACGGGUGAGGAAUACAUCGGAAUCUACUUUUUCGUGGGGGAUAACGUAGGGAAACCUACGCUAAUACCGCAUACGACCUACGGGUGAAAGCAGGGGAUCUUCGGACCUUGCGCGAUUGAAUGAGCCGAUGUCGGAUUAGCUAGUUGGCGGGGUAAAGGCCCACCAAGGCGACGAUCCGUAGCUGGUCUGAGAGGAUGAUCAGCCACACUGGAACUGAGACACGGUCCAGACUCCUACGGGAGGCAGCAGUGGGGAAUAUUGGACAAUGGGCGCAAGCCUGAUCCAACCAUACCGCGUGGGUGAAGAAGGCCUUCGGGUUGUAAAGCCCUUUUGUUGGGAAAGAAAAGCAGCAGGUUAAUACCCCGCUGUUCUGACGGUACCCAAAGAAUAAGCACCGGCUAACUUCGUG